rnacentral:rRNA from 1 species
UAGAGCACUGUUUCGGCAAGGGGGUCAUCCCGACUUACCAACCCGAUGCAAACUGCGAAUACCGGAGAAUGUUAUCACGGGAGACACACGGCGGGUGCUAACGUCCGUCGUGAAGAGGGAAACAACCCAGACCGCCAGCUAAGGUCCCAAAGUCAUGGUUAAGUGGGAAACGAUGUGGGAAGGCCCAGACAGCCAGGAUGUUGGCUUAGAAGCAGCCAUCAUUUAAAGAAAGCGUAAUAGCUCACUGGUCGAGUCGGCCUGCGCGGAAGAUGUAACGGGGCUAAACCAUGCACCGAAGCUGCGGCAGCGACGCUGAUGCGUUGUUGGGUAGGGGAGCGUUCUGUAAGCCUGUGAAGGUGUGCUGUGAGGCAUGCUGGAGGUAUCAGAAGUGCGAAUGCUGACAUAAGUAACGAUAAAGCGGGUGAAAAGCCCGCUCGCCGGAAGACCAAGGGUUCCUGUCCAACGUUAAUCGGGGCAGGGUGAGUCGACCCCUAAGGCGAGGCCGAAAGGCGUAGUCGAUGGGAAACAGGUUAAUAUUCCUGUACUUGGUGUUACUGCGAAGGGGGGACGGAGAAGGCUAUGUUGGCCGGGCGACGGUUGUCCCGGUUUAAGCGUGUAGGCUGGUUUUCCAGGCAAAUCCGGAAAAUCAAGGCUGAGGCGUGAUGACGAGGCACUACGGUGCUGAAGCAACAAAUGCCCUGCUUCCAGGAAAAGCCUCUAAGCAUCAGGUAACAUCAAAUCGUACCCCAAACCGACACAGGUGGUCAGGUAGAGAAUACCAAGGCGCUUGAGAGAACUCGGGUGAAGGAACUAGGCAAAAUGGUGCCGUAACUUCGGGAGAAGG